GGUAGGCAAGAUUAGCGAUCAGACAGGACAGCAGGGCUUGUUCGUAUACUUACACCUGGAUUACAAGGAUAGUCCUGUCUAAUAGUUCUCAUGUGUUAGUACCCUAAGAGCACAGAUCUGGGAAACAGGGCCUCCCUUGUGGCCAUGCCUCUUUGAGAAGAUAUCAUGGUAAAGCUUUAGGCUUUUCCCUAUAGUGCUGUCUAAAGCACCUUCCAGUAACUGGGUGAGUGGUGAGCUCACACCAAUGCUGCCUCAUCUCUCUCCUGCCUUGUGCUCUGAGCCUGGAAUGCUCUUGUUCUCGAUUCCUGCUGUACCAGUCUGGGGACACAGCUUUCUGGCUGCUGGAGUGAAGACAGGACUGAAACAAAGUGGGGUUAGAAAUUGGCACUAGUAGGGAAAGAGCCAGCUUGAGCAUGUUGGAUUUUCUUUUGGGUUCUGCCUUGGAGAUCUGUCUUGAUUCUGCAGCUUCUUCUGUCUGAUUUUGCAAGUCAGUAACAAAUCUUUCAGGAAGAAAAAUGUAUCUGGAUGAGGAACCUGCUGUGCAAAUCUAGUUUCUUGUACUAUUUCUCUGGCACCUAUAAUGGUCCCAUGGCACCCAAUGGUCCCUGUUGGCCAAUGCAUACUUUCUAGCUAUUCCAUUGUUGAAGCUGGCGCACAUGACCAGCUUGGACUUCUCAUUUGGUUUGUUCUUUGACUUCAGCAGUGUAGAUGCAGGCUCUUUGAUCUGCACUUUAUAGUUUAAAGAUUUCUUAGAUAACCUGAGACCACAAGUUCCACCUCAAAGUGGGAGAAGACGGCUUUUUGACUGCCUUUAAAC